rnacentral:rRNA from 1 species
GACGAACGCUGGCGGCGUGCUUAACACAUGCAAGUCGAGCGGUAAGGCCCUUUCGGGGGUACACGAGCGGCGAACGGGUGAGUAACACGUGGGUGACCUGCCCUUAGCUCUGGGAUAAGCCUGGGAAACUGGGUCUAAUACCGGAUAUGACUCCAUGACGCAUGUUGUGGGGUGGAAAGCCUUGUGCGGCUAGGGAUGGGCCCGCGGCCUAUCAGCUUGUUGGUGGGGUGAUGGCCUACCAAGGCGACGACGGGUAGCCGGCCUGAGAGGGCGACCGGCCACACUGGGACUGAGACACGGCCCAGACUCCUACGGGAGGCAGCAGUGGGGAAUCUUGCGCAAUGGGCGAAAGCCCUGACGCAGCGACGCCGCGUGAGGGAUGACGGCC